UAUAAAAUCAAAGGCAGCUAAACGCCAUAAUGUCGUAAAAUGAGUUAACUAUGGCGUCAUCUAGUUUAAUUAGUUGGACACGUUUUAGUGUAUUCAUUUUACUAACAAAUGCAGCUAAGUCCCUAGAAAAUUCAGUUCUAAAAUCGAUAUUGGCAUCAAAGACAGCUACAUGCCAACCAGUAAGAAUCAAAUACAGCUAUGAGUUACGCCUGCCAAUCAGAGAGCAAGAUUUCGGAGAAUCAGCAUGGCCGCCGCUAUACAAUUCAUGCGAAUGCGUCGUCCAGUUUUUGGCGUUAUUCUUGUGUUUGUAUUGAAUUACGUGACAAUUCUUUUGCUAAAAUUCGAAUUUGGAGAGCCAUGGAGGUCCUUGUAACAAGAGCAAGUGCGGGCAAGGCUCGUAAAAGAACAAGAAACCCCGAGAAUUGGAAAGCUAAUAUUGCUAAGAAGAAAAGGUACAUGCCAAAGAAAGCACCAGAACGAAUAAUCUGUUUACAUAAAAUGAACACCUAAAAUGUUCAAGUUUGACAAUGACUGAUAUUAUGAAUUUCCACAGUUCGUUUUAUUCCUCAAGUAAACGUAGUGAGCAAGAUGCUUUGAUACUGAAGUGCUGUAAAACGCAGAAGGUAAAAAGAAGGCGUCCUACCAAAAGCAUAAGAUUGGGUAGAGACUUCAAUAUCAAAUAUAGCGUUUUCAGAGCUCGCCAUGACUGUAUUCCUGUUUGCCAAAA